CCUACGGGUGGCAGCAGUGGGGAAUAUUGGGCAAUGGGCGCAAGCCUGACCCAGCAACGCCGCGUGAAGGAAGAAGGCUUUCGGGUUGUAAACUUCUUUUCUCAGGGACGAAGCAAGUGACGGUACCUGAGGAAUAAGCCACGGCUAACGACGUGGCAGCAGCCGCGGUAAUACGGAGGUGGCAAGCGUUAUCAGGAUUUACUGGGUGUCAAGGGCGUGUCGGCGGGGACGCAAGUCAGAUGUGAAAUCCAAUGGCUCAACCUGUUGCCUGGAUUUGAAACUGGGGUUCUUGAGUACCGGGGAGGCAGGCGGAAUUCCUGGGGUAGCGGUGAAAUGCGUAGAUAUUAGGAGGAACCCCAGUGGCGAAGGCGGUCUGCUGAACAGCAACCGACGCUGAUGCGCGAAAGCGUGGGGAGCAAACAGGAUUAGAUACCCUAGUAGUC
rnacentral:rRNA from 1 species